GACGAACGCUGGUGGCGUGCUUAACACAUGCAAGUCGAACGGUGAAGCCCAGCUUGCUGGGUGGAUCAGUGGCGAACGGGUGAGUAACACGUGAGCAACCUGCCCUCCACUUCGGGAUAAGCCUUGGAAACGAGGUCUAAUACCGGAUACGAGCACUUACCGCAUGGUGGGUGUUGGAAAGUUUUUCGGUGGGGGAUGGGCUCGCGGCCUAUCAGCUUGUUGGUGGGGUAAUGGGCCUACCAAGGCGUCGACGGGUAGCCGGCCUGAGAGGGCGACCGGCCACACUGGGACUGAGACACGGCCCAGACUCCUACGGGUGGCAG
rnacentral:rRNA from 1 species